rnacentral:rRNA from 1 species
GUGUCAGCCGCCGCGGUAAUACGGAGGAUCCGAGCGUUAUCCGGAUUUAUUGGGUUUAAAGGGUGCGUAGGCGGGAUAAUAAGUCAGUGGUGAAAGUUUGCAGCUUAACUGUAAAAUUGCCGUUGAAACUGUUAUUCUUGAGAGUAGAUAAGGUAGGCGGAUUGUGUUGUGUAGCGGUGAAAUGCAUGGAUUUAACACAGAACCCCGAUUGCGAAUGCAGCUUACCGGGCUACAUCUGACGCUGAUGCACGAAAGCGUGGGGAUCAAACAGGAUUAGAUACCCUGGUAGUCCACGCAGUAAACGAUGAAUACUAGCUGUAUGCGAUAUAUUGUAUGUGGCAAAGCGAAAGCAUUAAGUAUUCCACCUGGGGAGUACGUUCGCAAGAAUGAAACUUAAAGGAAUUGGCGG